rnacentral:rRNA from 1 species
UACGUAGGGAGCAAGCGUUGUCCGGAAUCAUUGGGCGUAAAGGGCUCGUAGGCGGUUUGUCGCGUCGGGAGUGAAAACGCCGUGCUUAACACGGCGCUUGCUUUCGAUACGGGCAGACUAGAGGUAUUCAGGGGAGAACGGAAUUCCUGGUGUAGCGGUGAAAUGCGCAGAUAUCAGGAGGAACACCGGUGGCGAAGGCGGUUCUCUGGGAAUGACCUGACGCUGAGGAGCGAAAGUGUGGGGAGCGAACAGG